rnacentral:rRNA from 1 species
GACGAACGCUGGCGGCGUGCUUAACACAUGCAAGUCGAACGAUGAAGCCUAGCUUGCUGGGUGGAAGAGUGGCGAACGGGUGAGUAACACGUGAGUAACCUGCCCCUGACUCUGGGAUAAGCGCUAGGAAUGGCGUCUAAUACUGGAUAUGACCUAUCACCGCAUGGUGUGUGGGUGGAAAGAUUUAUCGGUUGGGGAUGGACUCGCGGCCUAUCAGCUUGUUGGUGAGGUAAUGGCUCACCAAGGCGACGACGGGUAGCCGGCCUGAGAGGGGGACCGGCCACACUGGGACUGAGACACGGCCCAGACUCCUACGGGAGGCAGCAGUGGGGAAUAUUGCACAAUGGGCGCAAGCCUGAUGCAGCAACGCCGCGUGAGGGAUGACGGCCUUCGGGUUGUAAACCUCUUUUAGUAGGGAAGAAGCGAAAGUGACGGUACCUGCAGAAAAAGCACCGGCUAACUACGUGCCAGCCGCCGCCGUAA